rnacentral:rRNA from 1 species
GACGAACGCUGGCGGCGCGCCUAACACAUGCAAGUCGAACGGUGAAGAGGAGCUUGCUCCUCGGAACAGUGGCGGACGGGUGAGUAACACGUGAGCAACCUGGCUCUAAGAGGGGGACAACAGUUGGAAACGACUGCUAAUACCGCAUGACGUAUCGGGAUGGCAUCUUCCUGAUACCAAAGAUUUUAUCGCUUAGAGAUGGGCUCGCGUCUGAUUAGAUAGUUGGCGGGGUAACGGCCCACCAAGUCGACGAUCAGUAGCCGGACUGAGAGGUUGAACGGCCACAUUGGGACUGAGACACGGCCCAGACUCCUACGGGAGGCAGCAGUGGGGGAUAUUGGACAAUGGGGGCAACCCUGAUCCAGCGACGCCGCGUGAGGGAGGAAGGUUUUCGGAUUGUAAACCUCUGUUGACGGAGAAAAAAAUGAUGGUAUCCGUUUAGAAAGCCACGGCUAACUACGUG